GCUACUUUAACAUUAAGAAGAACAAAUUAAUAUGGUCAGGCUCAUUAGAGGGCUUGAAGGCUCUGGUACUAACAGAAGUUGACGAAGAUACAGCUCAAAGCACUACAUGGCGCUCGCCCAGUGGUGGGAAAUGGUCUUUUGAAAGCAAAGUGCUGUCAAUUACUUGGCAUUCGAGAAGCGAGUUUUUCUAUUUCGGAGGAUAAAAUUGCAAUGACCUAUUUGAACGAGUACAAUCCUUCUUAGAGCAAAGGGAGACGAAUCUCAGCUGCGAAAGUCACUCGAAAGUUCACUAACGGACGACUCGGAUGACGCAAGUUUUAUCGAUGAC